rnacentral:ncRNA from 1 species
AACAGCACGAUCCUAUUCUAGAGUUCACACAAACAGGCUUUAUAACCUCAUUAGAUCAGAACAUCCCAAAGGUGUAACCACUAUUAAUGGUUUGUUUGUUCAACAAUUAAAGUCCUAUGUGAUCUGAGUUCAGACCAGAGUAAUCCAGAUU